CCUACGGGUGGCAGCAGUGAGGAAUAUUGGUCAAUGGACGAGAGUCUGAACCAGCCAAGUAGCGUGAAGGAUGACUGCCCUAUGGGUUGUAAACUUCUUUUAUAUGGGAAUAAAAUGUUCCACGUGUGGGAUUUUGUAUGUACCAUAUGAAUAAGGAUCGGCUAACUCCGUGCCAGCAGCCGCGGUAAUACGGAGGAUCCGAGCGUUAUCCGGAUUUAUUGGGGUUAAAGGGAGCGUAGGUGGAUUGUUAAGGCAGUUGUGAAAGUUUGCGGCUCAACCGUAAAAUUGCAGUUGAAACUGGCAGUCUUGAGUACAGUAGAGGUGGGCGGAAUGCGUGGUGUAGCGGUGAAAUGCUUAGAUAUCACGAAGAACUCCGAUUGCGAAGGCAGUUCACUGGACUGCAACUGACACUGAGGCUCGAAAGUGUGGGUAUCAAACAGGAUUAGAUACCCUUGUAGUC
rnacentral:rRNA from 1 species